GUCUAUGGCCAUGCUACCCUGAACAAGCCCCGCCCCAUCUGAUCUUGGAAGCUAAGCAGUGUCAGGCCUGGUUAGUACUUGGAUGGGAGACCACCUAGGAAGACCAGGUGCUGUAGGCG
rnacentral:rRNA from 1 species